AUUGAACGCUGGCGGCAUGCUUUACACAUGCAAGUCGAACGGCAGCGCGGGGCAACCUGGCGGCGAGUGGCGAACGGGUGAGUAAUACAUCGGAACGUACCCAGAAGUGGGGGAUAACGUAGCGAAAGUUACGCUAAUACCGCAUACGUUCUACGGAAGAAAGUGGGGGACCUUCGGGCCUCAUGCUUUUGGAGCGGCCGAUGUCUGAUUAGCUAGUUGGUGAGGUAAAGGCUCACCAAGGCGACGAUCAGUAGCUGGUCUGAGAGGACGACCAGCCACACUGGAACUGAGACACGGUCCAGACUCCUACGGGAGGCAGCAGUGGGGAAUAUUGCACAAUGGGCGCAAGCCUGAUGCAGCCAUGCCGCGUGUAUGAAGAAGGCCUUCGGGCUGUAAAGUACUUUCAGCGGGGAGGAAGGCGGUGAAGUUAAUAGCUUCACCGAUUGACGUUACCCGCAGAAGAAGCACCGGCUAACUCCGUGCCAGCCGCCGCGGUAAUAC
rnacentral:rRNA from 1 species